GAUGAACGCUAGCGGCAGGCUUAAUACAUGCAAGUCGUGGGGCAGCAUGAAGUAGCAAUACUUUGAUGGCGACCGGCAAACGGGUGCGGAACACGUACACAACCUUCCUUUUAGUGGGGAAUAGCCCAGAGAAAUUUGGAUUAAUACCCCGUAACAUAGCGAUGUGGCAUCACAUUGCUAUUAUAGCUUCGGCGCUAGAUGAUGGGUGUGCGUAUGAUUAGAUAGUUGGUUAGGUAACGGCUCACCAAGUCUACGAUCAUUAGCUGAUGUGAGAGCAUGAUCAGCCACACGGGCACUGAGACCCGGGCCCGACUCCUACGGGAGGCAGCAGUAAGGAAUAUUGGUCAAUGGACGAAAGUCUGAACCAGCCAUGCCGCGUGAAGGAUUAAGGUCCUCUGGAUUGUAAACUUCUUUUAUAUGGGACGAAAAAAGGUCUUUCUAGAUCACUUGACGGUACCGUAAGAAUAAGCACCGGCUAACUACGUGCCAGCAGCCGCAGUAACAC
rnacentral:rRNA from 1 species